UAAGAGGUCCCGCCUGCCCUGUGACUCUAAGUUUAACGGCCGCGGUAUUUUAACCGUGCAAAGGUAGCGCAAUCACUUGUCUUUUAAAUGAAGACCUGUAUGAAUGGCACAACGAGGGCUUAACUGUCUCUUUCUCCCAGUCAAUGAAAUUGAUCUCCCCGUGCAGAAGCGGGGAUGCAGUCAUAAGACGAGAAGACCCUAUGGAGCUUUAGACACUAAGCCAGCUCAUGCUAAGAUUACCUAAUUAUGGGGAAAGCAAAAUGAGCCCUGUCCUGAUGUCUUUGGUUGGGGCGACCACGGAGCAAUAAAGAACCUCCACGUGGAAAGAAAGUAUAAUUUUUACAGCUGAGGGCUACAGCCCUAAGCACCAGAAUAUCUGACCAACAAGAUCCGGCAAUGCCGAUCAACGGACCGAGUUACCCUAGGGAUAACAGCGCAAUCCCCUUUUAGAGCCCAUAUCGACAAGGGGGUUUACGACCUCGAUGUUGGAUCAGGACAUCCUAAUGGUGCAGCCGCUAUUAAGGGUUCGUUUGUUCAACG
rnacentral:rRNA from 1 species